GAAACUCCCUGAGUUCUUGUACCACCUCUCCAGGCUGUCUGUGGUGACUCCAGUCGGCUGCCCAGUUUACCAGACCAUUUUUGUGAGGCUGUACCAAGCCAUGUCAGCAUUGCCUCAAGAGAUGGAGCCAAUCAUCUGGGCCAGUGUUUAUGACCUCACAGAAUCUGCACCAAUGGAUUGUGCUCUGG